rnacentral:rRNA from 1 species
UACGUAGGGGGCAAGCGUUGUCCGGAUUUAUUGGGCGUAAAGAGCGUGUAGGCGGCCAGGUAGGUCAGCUGUGAAAACUCGAGGCUCAACCUCGAGACGCCGGUUGAAACCAUCUGGCUAGAGUCCGGAAGAGGAGAGUGGAAUUCCUGGUGUAGCAGUGAAAUGCGCAGAUAUCAGGAAGAACACCCGUGGCUAAGGCGGCUCUCUAGUACGGUACUGACGCUGAGACGCGAAAGCGUGGGGAGCGAACAGG